rnacentral:lncRNA from 1 species
CUGUAACACAGCUAUAGGAUCAUUCCUUCCAUCAGCCUGAUAUCUUCCCAGGAGAUCUCCAUUUCAAAAUGCCUGACAGCCCCAGGCUUAAGGCAGUUUCUUGGAAGAAUGGUAACUACAAUGGGACAAUCCAGCCGUUUACCAACAAAUGAACAGAACUUACAGAAGUGUACAUGAAUAGCCCUGUAACAUGAGCACCUUCACUGCACUGCCUGGUGAGGGAUGCACUGGGGCCGGCAGGAGUACAGCCUGACGCAGGACACCAGAGUCAGACAGUCAAGAACAGAAAAUUGGAUUUUUACAACCCAUUGGUAUCUCACCACCACCUUCUUCCAGGUCCUCUACAACUGUGGUACAAGUCCAACUGUCCUGGAAAGGUAUAUGUGACUCACACCACAGCUGCUGGCUCACAGCAGGGAUUUUCUCCUCUUGAAGUUCAUUUCCAGGACCAGAUUAAGAAGCAGUAGCCUACAACAGGGAGAUUUGCUAUCCCUAUUCCCAGUCAUUCUGCUUCUCUGCACUUUGCUGUAACUUUAUAGAGAAUAAAAAUAAAAAAUCAUAUAAACA